UUCAAAUGCCGGGAAGCUGGGGUGCGAGACGCGAAGAAGCUGGACGCCAGGAACAGAGGAAAAAUGCAAACUUCAUUCGCAGUGGUCUCCAAGUGGCGAUACCGCGCCACUCUCUGGGCUUCAUGAUUGAUGAUGCCAGGAUCAGGAUCACUCACCCCCAGCAGCGCUGAAUGAACACACAAGGUACCUGCAGGACCCACUCGUGUCCAUUGAUCUCUCAGAGCAGCUGGGGAGCAUGGCAGCACAUAUACUACAGUUGGAACGACGCGCCUGAGCAAGGAUGACACGCAAAUUCGUGAAACGUUCCAUAUUUAACGCUGGCUUGGAGAGCAACAGUGCGACGGUGGAGGAGCCACUAACAGAUCCCAUACCAGAAGAUGAGAAAAAAGAAUAAA